CGGACGGUGGUUUCAAUGGGACGCCGGGGACCAAGACCCUCUCGGCGAGCUCGUUGGCUUACAGAGGGGCGAGAACGUCACGCCGGCACACCGGGUCGAGCGCUGCCCUUUCCUCGAGACCCGUUGGUCAAUCGAAAACUGGACCGGGGUGCCCUUUUCGUCGAGACCUCGGGGCGGCGGAUCUCUUUCGCCUCUAACUCUGUGACGAUGGAAAAGACACAGGGCCGCUUUCCUCUUCGUCGUCCCGGGACGAGUGACUGGAGGCGGGGUUACGUCUGACAAGACACAGCAAUCUCACUGCAAUACACAGCAUUACACAGCACCACUUCAAGUGAAAAUUUCUACAUCCAAAGACUCACCCACCACGCUCAGUGCACACGAUAGACACCCGUCUUCCUUCACUUCGCUCUGGGCAAGGAUAUGGAGAUGGUAACACGGCCUAGUGUUUGUUUUUCGUCACUGUAGCUGCUUCAACACAAGGACCCUUCGGCUCACCCACCACGCUGGUUCAGGGGUUGACUUCACACUGCAAUAACUCCAGAUGCAUAGACAGGGCGUUUUCCAGCCACCAACACCACUUUUCCACAGGUGUAUACUCACAAUGGUAAGUUUCCUCUUCCUUCGUUUCUCUCAUCCAGCAUCAGUAUCCG